CAUGCAAGUCGAGCGGUAACAGACAUAAAGAUUCAGCUUGCUGAAUCCGGUGCUGACGAGCGGCGAACGGGUGAGUAACGCGUAGGAAUCUGCCCAGUAGCGGGGGAUAGCCCGAGGAAACUCGGAUUAAUACCGCAUACGCCCUAUGGGGGAAAGAAGGCCUCUCCUUGGAAGCUUUCACUAUUGGAUGAGCCUGCGUAAGAUUAGCUUGUUGGUAGGGUAAAGGCCUACCAAGGCAACGAUCUUUAGCUGGUCUGAGAGGACGAUCAGCCACAUUGGGACUGAGACACGGCCCAGACAUCUACGGAUGGCAGCAGUUAAGAAUAUUGGACAAUGGGGGAAACCCUGAUCCAGGCAUACCGCGUGUGUGAAGAAGGCCUUAGGGUUGUAAAGCACUUUAGUUAGGGAAGAAGUUUAUUGGAUUAAUACACCAAUAGAUUGACAUUACCUAAAGAAUAAGGACCGGCUAACUCCGUGCCAGCAGCCGCGGUAAUACGGAGGGUCCAAGCGUUAAUCGGAAUUACUGGGCGUAAAGCGCGCGUAGGCGGUUAUGGAAGUUGAUUGUGAAAGCCCUGGGCUCAACCUGGGAACUGCAUUCAAAACUCCAUGACUAGAGUACGAGAGAGGAGAGUAGAAUUUCUAGUGUAGCGGUGAAAUGCGUAGAUAUUAGAAGGAAUACCAAUGGCGAAGGCAGCUCUCUGGCUCGUCACUGACGCUAAGGUGCGAAAGCGUGGGUAGCAAACAGGAUUAGAUACCCUGGUAGUCCACGCCGUAAACGAUGAGAACUAGCCGUUGGGUAGAAUUAACUACUCAGUGGCACAGCUAACGCAUUAAGUUCUCCGCCUGGGGAGUACGGCCGCAAG
rnacentral:rRNA from 1 species